UACGUAGGGGGCUAGCGUUGUCCGGAAUCAUUGGGCGUAAAGCGCGUGUAGGCGGCCCGGUAAGUCCGCUGUGAAAGUCGGGGGCUCAACCCUCGGAUGCCGGUGGAUACUGUCGGGCUCGAGUACGGAAGAGGCGAGUGGAAUUCCUGGUGUAGCGGUGAAAUGCGCAGAUAUCAGGAGGAACACCAAUUGCAAAGGCAGCUCGCUGGGACGUUACUGACGCUGAGACGCGAAAGCGUGGGGAGCAAACAGG
rnacentral:rRNA from 1 species